rnacentral:lncRNA from 1 species
UAGUUUCCUAUUCUUCCUUUUUUCCUUAUUUCACUGUAAUCAUAUUUAAUUAUUCUUUAUUUGAUGAGAUUUGAUCUUAUCUCUUAUUUCAUAGGAUUUACACGAGAUUUGAUCUCUUAAGAAGAUCAUUCUUUUGUAUAUUUAUAUGGGAUUGAUUACCCACUAAAAAUAAGAAGUAAAUUACAUCUUUUCUCGUGGUAUCAGAGCUCUUUCCAUAGGGCCUGUUUUUCUGCUGCUACUUUUUCUAUUUGUCUUUAUCACGAAAGUUCACAGUCUUCAUUGCUAUUGGUCCCAUUAUCGUCGAUCUUGUUUGUCUUCAUCGCAGACAUCUUCAGUGUCGACUCCGUUUGCUUUGAUCGCAGAUAUCUUCAUCAUUCUCUGCCUUCAUCGCAGAAGUCAUCGUUGUUCGCAGCUUUUCUCUGUAGGCCAAAUCUAACUGCACUCCCAUUGUCAGUCAGUCUCUUUAUUGUUGCUGUUAUUUGAUUCCUUCUCUUAGUCAACAUGUCUAUAAGGCCAUGGCGUUCAGCCCUUUCGAAUCCAUUUUUAGGACAACUUAACCCACUUUAAAUGGUGAACUGCAGGUCAUGAACUCUUCCUAUCAUCUUGAUGGGAAGAAUUAUUUUCAAUGGUCAUAGUUGGUGAAAACUUUUCCCAAGGAUCUAUACCUGAAAAAUCUAAAAAAGCUGAAUUUCGAAAAUUCAACAAAGAAGAAGUUGAGAAAUUAUAAGAUUUUCUUAACUCUCUGUCUACUUCCUGUGGUUCAUAUUCAUUGGCUCAAUCUAGUAAGUGCCUUGUUUCUAAUUCUCUUAAUAUCGAUACAUUGUCUCAUUUCUCCUCCUAAGGACCUGACUCAGGAGCAACAGAUCAUAUAAGCCAUAGCCCAUCUGGAUUUGAGUCCUACAAAUUAUGCUUAGGAAAUCAAAUAAUUAUCGUGGCUAAUGGUUUCCCUAUUAUCAGAGCCGGCCAAGGCCAAAUUUCCUUAGUCCCUUCCUUUCAUUUAAAAAAUAUGUUACAUGUUACAAAAUUAUCCAUUAAUCUAAUCUCCAUUCAUCAGCUCAUCAAAAAUUUAAAUUGUUGUAUCACAUUUUUUGAUACCCAUUGCAUCUUUCAGGACAAAGUCAUAAAGCAGACGAUUAGAUCUGCUAAAGAACGGAAUGGCCUUUACUACCUUGAUGCUGCCAGUAGUUCAUCCACUCCUACAAACCAGUUCACUCUCUCCCACACAUCGUCCAAUUCUACUCAUCCUUUCUCUUCCAAUGAAUCUGAAAUUUGAAUCCAACAUCUUUGUCUUGGCCAUUCAUCUUUCCUUUUGCAAAAAAAUAUGUUUCUUUUAUUGUUCAAUAAUGUUGAUGUUCAAAGCCUUCAUUGCAAGACUUGUAAAUUUGGUAAACAUCAUCAUGUAUCAUUCCCUUUGAGUUUUAAUAAAUCUUCUAAACCUUUUCUCUCAUACAUAUAGAUAUUUAGGAUUCAUCUAGAAUUUCUACUUAUACUGGGGCAAAGUGGUUUGCAUCAUUCAUUGAUGACUAUACUAAGACCACGUGGAUAUAUCUUAUGAAGAAAAAAUCUGAGGUCAGCCAUAUAAUUCCAUCUUUCCACUAAAUGAUAUUGACUCAAUUCAGGGUAUCCAUACAAAAGAUUCAUUCUGAUAAUGCUCGAGAUUAUUUUAAUUUCACUCUUGCUUCUUUCAUAAAAAAAGAAUCAUUCAUGAAUCCUCUUGUGUUGACACGCCCCAACAAAAAGGGAUAGCAGAGAAAAAAAAUCGAUAUCUUCUAAAUAUCACUUGUGCCCCUCUUUUUUAUUCUAAUGCCUCAGAAUUUUUUUGGAGAGAUGCUGUCCUUACAGCAACUUUUCUGAUUAAUAGAGUCUCUUCACGUAUCUUUGGUAAUCAAUCUCCUAUUCACCUAUUGUCUACCUUUCACUUUGAGCUUCAUUAUCUGAGUAAUCUUCCUCUUCGCGUCUUUGGGUGUGUCUCAUAUAUCCAUGUUCAUAAACAACAUCGGGAAAAGCUUGAUCCUAGAGCUCUAAAUUUUAUUUUCGUGGGCUAUUCCAAUACACAAAAAGGGUAUAAGUAUUAUCAUCCUUCUACUCAAAAAAUGUUUAUCUCCAUGGAUGUCACCUUUAAUGAGAACCAAUUUUAUUUUUCCAAACCCCAUUCCCCUCUUCAGGGGGAGAAGCCUAAGGAUAGUUUGGAAUGGGUUGUCCUUGAUAAUCUUUGGAGUCUACAACUGAUACCUCUUCCACUUGAACUAUCCUCAUAUAAGAUGCCUCCUCCAUAUGAACCAUCCUCAUAUGAGCCAGAACAAGACACUAAAAAUCAGCAACAAAAGCAGCCUGAAUUACUGCAGUAUUCAUAGAGAAAAAAGAUGAUUUUCGAACCAAUGCAGACCCAAGACUCUAAUCAGGAUGAACAAGAGCCAGAUAAAUCAGUUUUUCUCACUGAUUCUAUUCUUAAUGAAUCUAUUCCUGAAGAGCCUAUUUCUCAAAAUCUCUAAAUCCUAAUUACCUUAAGAAAGGCCAUCAGAAAGUGCACUCAACAUCCAAUCUAUCCAAUUUCACUGUUUGUCUCCCUUCAUCAUCUUUCUUCAUAACAUAAAAGUUUUCUUACUACCCUAGACUCAAUUGAUAUCUCUAAAAUCAUACAAGAGAUAUUAAAGAACAAAAAUUGGAUACAAGCCAUGAAAGAGGAAAUGACUGCACUAGAGAAGAAUAAGACAUGGGAGGUUGUGACUGGGCCAAAAGGGAAACAACCAGUUAGAUGCAAAUGGGUUUACACUUUAAAAUACAAAGUAAAUAGAUCUCUUAAGAGGUACAAAGCAAGAUUAGUUACAAAGGGGUAUCCACAAAUCUAUGGGGUAGACUAUCAUGCACCAGUAGCAAAGAUGAAUACCGUAAGAAUUUUAUUAUCUCUUGCUGCUAUGUUUGAUUGAGAUUUGCAGCAAUUUGAUGUCAGGAAUGUAUUUCUAUAUAGAGAUUUAGAAGAAUAGGUCUUUAUGGAGCCACCAUCCAGAUUUGAUGGAGAUUUUGGGGUUGAUAAAAUUUGUAGUUUGAAAAAGACUUUGUACGGCCUAAAACAAUCUCCUAGAGCAUGAUUUGGGAGGUUUACAAAGGCAAUGCUGAGAAUGAGAUACAAACAAAGCCAGAGAGACUACAUAUUAUUUAUAAAAUACUCAGAUAAAGAUGAAGUUACAGUCUUACUAGUGUAUAUGGAUGAUAUUAUUAUGAUAGAAAAUGAUGCAUCUAAAAGAGAAUCUCUUAGAAAAAGAUUGGCUCAAGAAUUUGAGAUCAAAGAACUCAAAAAAUUGAAAUACUUUCUAGAUAUUGAAGUGGCUUACUCAAAAAAAGUUAUAUUUGUCUCUCAAUGAAAAUAUGUACCAGACUUUCUUAAAGAAAUCAGAAAUUUUUGCAGCAAAGCAACAAGUAUGCCUAUUGAUUAUAAUCAUAGGAUAGAAAAAACUGAAGAGGAUAGCUCAAUUGAUAAAGGAAGAUAUCAGAGACUUGUAAGAAAAUUAAUUUAUCUUUCACAUACAAGAUCAGUCAUUGCCUACUCUAUGAGUGUAGUCAAUCAGUUUAUGCAUGACCCAAAAGAAGAACACUUGUAAGCAAUUUACAGAAUCCUGCACUAUCUUAAAGCUACACCAGGUAAGAAAAUCUUGUUUCAGAAAAGGAGUCCUAUACUGAUGUUGAUUAUGCUGGAUCACAAGUUGACAGAAGAUCAACAUCUGGACACUGCACAUUUCUAAAAAGUAAUCUGAUGACUUGGAGGAGUACAAAAUAGAAUGUGGUAACAAAGUCUAGUGUUGAGGCUAAGUUCAGAGCCAUGGCUCCAGAGAUUUAUGAACUACUGUGGGUAAAAAUAAUCCUAGAUAACUUAAAGAUCAAGAGAGAAGGAAUGAUAAAGCUAUAUUGUGAUAACAAAUCUGUCAUUAAUAUUGCUUAUAAUCCGAUUCAGCAUGAUCGGACCAAGCACAUUGAGAUAGACAAAUACUUCAUAAAGGAGAAGUUGGACAAUGGGUUGAUUAGUAUCCCAUAUAUGCCAUCAGAGAAUCAGUUAGCUGAUGUUCUAACCAAGGGUCUACCUACAAUGAGAUUUCAAGAAAUUAUUAGCAAGCUGGGAAUGAAAGAUAUUCACUCACCAGCUUGAGGAAGACUGUUGAAAAUUUUCUAAAAUCUCUCAUCUAAUUGUAGGAUAUUUAUAUAGUUUCCUAUUCUUUCUCUCUUUAUAAUGGUAGGAUAUUUGUAUAGUUUCCUAUUCUUCUUCCCUUUCCUUAUUUCUUGUAACUAUAUUUAAUUAUCUCUUAUUUGAUGGGAUUUGAUCUUAUCUCUUAUUUCAUGGGAUUUACACAGGAUUUGAUCUCUUAAGAAGAUCAUCCUUUUGUAUAUUUAUAUGGGAUUGAUUAUCUACUGAAAAUGAGAAGUAAAUUAUAUCUUUUCUCAAAUACUCUUAUCAUAUGUGUUUGAUACUUAUGUUAAAUAUCCUAUUUUUUAAAAUUAAGAAAGCCUUCUAAAUACUUUCGGAUACGCUCAAGUUACUUCUUUGAUAUCUCCAAGAAUGAAAUCAAGGGAUUUUUCUUUCUUUUUCUUUCAAGGAUGAAUGCUAACCAUUUAAUGAUAAAUAAUUAAUUUUUGAGUUAAUAAUGUUAAUACUGUCAAAUGGGGUAGGAAUUAGGUCUAUGAAUUUGAAUGAUAAAAAAAUGAUGAGUUUGUAAAAGUUCAUAGAUGCUUUUUUGUAUAUCCACAUCAUAUGCAUAUGUAUUUGUAAAAUUCAUAUAUAUUUGUUCCAUAUCCUAGUUGUAUCAUAUUGUUGGGGGGUAAUACGUCCACUAUGAGCUAAUGAAAGUGGAUACCUUGGACCCUAUCUGAUAUGAUAUACCCUGAGCACUAUUUGAACUCUAUUGAUGACCGACCUGGAAGCUUACCGACUAGGCGUUCCUUUGAGAGGAAAGGACAGAUGAUACUAAGAUUGUUGGGGGCUAGUAUCCCAUUAUCAUCAGAGCUCGACUUUGCCAACCACUCUGAGGAACCGAUCCCUCUAGGGGUUCGGCAUCGCCUUGUCUGUUUCGAUCUCCACAGCAAGCACAUCAUCAGGAGAUGCAAACCCUUGGCCGCCUACUUCGGAGGAUGAUUAAGGAUCGGACAAACGAUCUCCACCUGGUGCUCAAGCUGGGGAACACCAAAUGAUUCCCAUUGUGGACUAGCUGGGCUCCAUUAUCUAGUCGCAUCACUCCAUCUAUCAGUCGCAUCACCAUUCCUUUCACAACUGCGUGCCGAGAGAAUUUAUGAUCGCUCUCAUAGAUACUUAAAACACCUCACACAGCCUUGUGUGAUAAGACAUGAUCAUAAUGACCCCUUAUCCUUUCACCCUUAGAAUUUAAUCCUCCCUUCGUUGAAGAAGGGACCCCUACCAAAAUUGCGACACCGAUCUCCGACUUGAUCAUGGGUUCCGACACCCUAUCGAUCCAUACGUUAUCCCAUCCUUGCCAAGAUGGUGCGCAAGAGCCAGGCAUUGAGCCGAGGAUGGCCCGACUAUCUCUAGAGAUUUUGAGUCAAUCCUUAUACCUAAUCAAUCUUUGGAUCAUACACUAUUACAAUCUAUUGUAUACCGAGAGGCUGACCUUUUCUCGGACCCCAUGCGGUGGGCUAAAUCGACCCUUAAUUAGUGCCGACCCCCACUUGUCCAACCCUUCGCUGACCUUGGAUGGUCCACUUCAGAGAACCUUUGAGCCUUCUUCCUAGCCACCGACCUCCCCUACAAACAACCAAUGGAGAAGCUAAUCUAGGUGAAUCAACUGAUCCCUUGAGCCAAUAGCAUCUGGCAAUGAACAUAUUCGUAAGCUCUUGAGCUUCGGUGUAUUGGGCAAUGACUCUAUCUAAAAUACGAGUCAAGAUACAUCAAUUAUGAUUUUUGUCCAUAUGAGUCAAAUCAGGGUACACCUUUUCAUGUCAUUAUCCUACUUGUGACUCAUACACUGGAUAAACUCACAUCACUUGGCCUCCCCUGAUCAACCACAUGCCUCACAGCUCUGCGUGACGGGAUCAUUGGAAUAACUUUCCAUCCCUCCUUGCUUGACUUUAGCUCCCUCCAUUAAUAAAAAGAGCAGAGAGGAUUCUCGAGGAACAUGCGAAUGAUGGGUCAUCUGGGCAUCAGGCUCGAGGUCAGGGAAAACUCAGUUUUGACAUUAUCUCUGGGGAUUCUAAUGAGUCAAUCCUUACUCUUAAUCGAAUCUCGGGUUCUUCACUAUUAUAACCUAUCACUUUGAAGGUAGUCCCUGCCAUACCGACCCUCCGAAUAGGACCCCCUAAAAGUUUUCUGAUACUUAUAUUCCUGCCCACAAGCAGUUCGGACUAACUGGCCGACCCUCCCCACCUGGCCAGCACUCUCCAUCUAGCAGUAAGGACCUUCUGGCCUCCAAACUUUGGCGUCGAAGGAGGGAUCGGGCAUCGGAUAACAAAAUAGGCUCAAGGACUAAUUAUGAUUCUUGUCCAAAUAUGUCAAGUCAGAAUAUAUUACCGCCGUUUCACUUGCCACCUACAUGUCCACCAAGCCUAUGUCACAUCACCUUCCUUGUCAACUGUGCGCUAGCUAAAAGAUCCAUUUACCAACUGACAUGAUUCGUAUGGCCCAUGGCGUCACCAAUCCCUAUAUAAGUAGCAGUAAAGAGGAGACCUACAUGCCCUCUUGAAACUUUUUCUCCCUUCUCCUCUGUUGUAUCAUAUUUCUGACUUGAUCGUCUGUGGAUCUUCGUCGGAGUCAAUUUCGAUCAUGGCUUGUUUUACAGGAAUGCAGUUCUGGUGAUCUCCACCCUCAUUCACACGCGGUCGAAAAUCUUCUGCAACACAUAUCAUAAUUUUUCAUGAUUUUUCAUAUCGUGUCAUAUCUAUUCUUGCAUCUGCAACAUCUGCAUAUCUAUUUUUCAUGGGUAGGAAUGUGCCUUGGCGGAUCCUUCAAAUUUGGUAUAUUAUGAUUGUGUUCACUUUGCCUGAAUUUGACAAUACCGGAUAUUAAGAGGCUUUUUAUUAUGUGGACUUUGAAGCUGUGUAUGCAUUAUCUUUAUAGUUUUACAUUGAAUUUAUUGAGUCUACUCAUAAACAUUGAUUUUGUGAAUGUUUUCACCUUAGCUGAUUAUGAUAGAGUUGCAGUUGAUAUUCAAACUAGAAAAUAAACAAAGAAAUUUUAUCUAAGUGUAAGAAGCAUACAUACACAUAUAGUUUGAUAUUGAAUUAAGGGAUGCAUUAUUAGGUAUAUAGAUAGCUAAAUAUUAUUUUCAAAUGAUUACUGCAAUUAUUUUCAAUAAAUCUAUCUUUUGGAGCUGCACAGAUCCCCGCACCUAGCUACAUAAGUACAAACUAGCACAUGAUAGUACUCUCACAUGUAGAUAUUAGUGUAUUUGUUCUUGUGGGUUUGAAGUAUAGAGAGUAUGUUUUAUAUUGCAAGAUAUUGUAUUUCCUAUGGUUCGUAGGGUAACAUAUUAUUUUUUUUUGUGGUGCUAGCUUCAGUACCAAGGCACAGGGAUGAUGAGAAUAUACUUGAAUGUAACAAAGCUUCUUGUUUGAGCUUGGUAAUGAUAUGGUGGCUUUUACUGCUGUAUAUGGCAUGCAGAAGCUGUCCAGGAUCUGCUAUCAGGUAGAAAAGUCUCAACAUAUAUAUAUGGUUGUUCAUCUAGCUUGUCUAAUACUUUUUGAUAGAAUAUUAUGGCUAAGAAUAUUGAAGGCUUUACAAAAAUCAAUGGUUGGUAUCUAAGUUACUUAGAAACAAGAUACCGGAUCCCGUACCAGUACCAUCCUAUUAUAGUGUCCAUAUGCAAUUAGGUGUAAUACGAGAAAUCAUACCAAUACAGUAUCAAUAUGGUAUGGUAUGGUAUGUCCCAUGUUAGGGAGUACGGUAAAUUAUGCUUAGAAAUAUAAAGGAUGGUGAGAUAUGAAGGGGACUUUUUGUUGGUCUGCUUAGAAAUGUCAAGGAUAGUGAGAUAUGAAGGGGGUUUUUGUCUGCAAAUCUUGUCUUUGCAAAUUGCCAUUAAAUCUUAAGCAGUAGUAAAAUUUAGAAUAACAUUGAUCAACUUAUGUAUUGGUAAUUUGUUGUACCAAGCCAGUUGGUUUAUUUUUCUAAACUAAAGUCCUGCUCAGAAUUAUCAAUGAUGAUAUCUUCCUUGACAUUCUCCUCAAAAAUUAUGAUUUGAGCUGUUCAUUUUGAGGCGGAGACAAAUAAAUAUAAUUAUGAGUACUUAUAUAUUUUUGCAUUCUUUUUUUAGCAGCAUAGUUUACUAUGUAUCACACUAUUUUAUUUGCUUUUGUAUCACUACUUUUUGAUGUAGUAUGCUGUUAUCACUUUACAAACUAAAAGAAAAAUUACCCAUUAAGUCUUUCAAUCAUGUAGAACAAAGUUGUAGUUAUAGUUCAUAAUAUUAUACAUUGCUUUGAUCCCAUCUGUGUUUCCACCAACCCUUUUGGUAUUGGGAAACCCAAAGUAGGACAAAAUCUCAUAGCAUAAUGACAUUGAAUGAGCAUUAAAACUUCUCAGUUACAUUGCUGAAAGUGGUAGAAAUCUUAUUGAAGCAUAUAAUAGGCCAGGAUUACUGAUAGUGACCAAACAGUUGUAUUAAUUUUAAGAACGAAAGCCACUUCUGCAUGCUGAAACACCUAUUAUCCCCUAAGCGUCUAAAUGCCUUCAUUUGUGGGCUUCUUGGAAAUUAUACUUGGAAUUGUCGUCAACGUAAUAAAUAUCUUUUUCUUGACCAAUUUUAAUAUUAAUAGAAUGCAUGGAGCUCCGUGAGAAAUACAAAUUAUUUGUUCGGGACCCUUACUUUAAUUUCCAUUUUUCUUUAACAUUGAGACCUUGCAAACAAAUUCACUUGUUGCGGCAAAAUAUACAUUAUAUUGUGAUUGUGAGAGGCUGAGAGCAUGGCCUCAAAAGGACACUUGAUUCUAGUGAGUGGCUGCUGUGAUGCUUGUAUGCUUACUUAGAACAAUUUCUGUAAUGAAUUGUGUUCCUAAAGGUAUCUCUUUGGUUCAUUCAUUAAAAUGAUAGCAUUUGUUAGUGGACUAUGAUAACUCAUUCUAUUCUGUGAUAACCUAUGCAAUACUAAUUUGCACAGUCGUCCAUCUUCAAGAAAAUGUUACUGGAUGCCCUGCCUGUCCUUGCAAGUUUGUAACAAGCACCUGCAUCGAAAUAUUAGCAUGCGAAUAUCAGAAGGUUAGUUCAUACAAAACUCCAUCAUUUGAUAGUUAACAUGCAUGUGGCAUGUGAAGAAAUAUGCAUGUCUACUAAUCUUUAGAAACCCAGGUACUAUCUUGAUCAGUUCUAGUGGUAUUAAAUCAGGAGAAGAUAAGUUUGAUCGAUAAGACCAUAUGAACAACUCCCCGGCCAUAUGCUCCCCGGCAGGGUACCGCUUGAUUAUGGUUUGUCUAGAACUUGUUAUUGAGAUGCAUUAGACUUUUCAGUCACAAUUAUAUUCAAUUGUGGGUCGCUCGCAAAAUUUGUGCCAGAAGGAUGUGCACGCUUAAUCAACAUCAACAUGCAAUCGAACUAGUAUAUUCAGUUACUCUAGGGACUAAUUGUAUCUUUUAUCAUUUUUAUUUGUAAGUAAACAUAGGUACUUUUCAUAUGUUGUUUGAAUUUUUUUUAUAUGUUUUCAAAGCAAUAAAUAAUGCUAUCCAGAGCAAAUGAUGGGAAAACAUUGUUUGUUUGAAGUAGUAUUCUGGAACCUAGUUUUGUUAUGGCAAUUUGAUCAGUUGCAUUGAUUUACACUAAUCUGUUGAAAUUUUGAAAUCAAGUAAUAGUUUUAAAGAUAAUAAACCAAGUAAUACUUUCACUAUUCCCUCACUUAGCCUAGCACAAGGUUAGCCUAGCUGAAGAAUAAGUUGGCUUAGCCUAUCCAACAUUUAGGGCGGGUCGAACAAGCCACAAGAUCACCCAAGCUAGUGUGCAUCCUUUUAACAUUGAAUGAGAGUAAAUAACAAAUGCUUCAGGGUAUGUUGUCCCUNNNNNNNNNNNNNNNNNNNNUUCUCUUUUCUUUUUUUUUUUUUUGUCUCUCUACAUGCCAAUUCUUUUCAUUAACAAUGCGCUUUUUGAGUCAUAUUUUUGUUCUCUGAUAUGAUUAUUUCUAGCAGGUAUUAAGGUUUAAACAGAUUAUGAUCUCUAUUGGACGGUCCAUGGCAAUUCACUCGAAAUUGCAGAAGACCAGAAACGGAACUCAUCAUGUCAUAGAUUUCUUGUAAACUGGAUAAAUUACCGUCUGCUGUUAUAUGUUGAACUCCAAUAGAAGGAAGUUGAACUCCGAGAUAAAUUAUCUCGUCUUCUCGGUACAAAACACUGGAUACUUUUCCUUUUAUUCUAAAAGGAAGCUGACAUCUCCGGUGAUCUUAAAACAGGUAUAAUGGCUUAAAUCUGUAUACUUCCGUUUUAUUUUCCUCUGUAUCGGCUUACUCUAUGCUAACUGUUAUGUUUUCUUCAAUAAUAUUAAAUUGGGUUUUUAAAGGAAUUCAUUGGCUUGAUUUUUUCUAAGUUGUUUCACAAAUUUCGAUCAGGCAGAGUACGGGUUGGGGCCUUGAUAACAGGUCCCUUGGAGAUCGACUAAUGCGCAUGAUGACAUGGGAGAACCAUGAAACUAUCUGGGUGGUACCUAAUGGGUAGCUUAUUGAAGCCUUACGCUAGUUUAUUAACAGUUUCAGCGAAACAUAUUGGGCUACAAUGUCAAACUACUGUGUUCAAGUAUUAAUUAGCUACUGAGCACUUAAGUUGUUUGUAAUUAUAG